rnacentral:sRNA from 1 species
ACAUCAAAUUUUGAAGGGACGAUGGGUGGCCGAUGAAGUUUUAAUCUUAUUUCUCAGUAGAAGUUUUUCUGCGAUAUAUUUGCGCAGUAACAAAAUAAAACUUUACGAAACCGGAAAUAGGAUUAGUCUGCCCAUUUUUCAAAAUUACUGCAAAUAAUUCUCUACAAUACGCUAACGCUUUGUAGUGGUUUUUUGCAUAUUCAUUUAAUGGUCAGUAUGUAAUCCUACCGUUUAAUAUCGGAGGGAUUUUUUU